AUACGUAGGGGGCGAGCGUUAUCCGGAUUUAUUGGGUUUAAAGGGAGCGCAGGCGGAGAUGCAAGCGUGACGUCAAAUUUCGGGGCUCAACCCCGUCUCGCGUCGCGAACUGCGUCCCUUGGUUGCGGGAAGGGGAGGCGGAACUCGCGGUGUAGCGGUGAAAUGCAUAGAUAUCACGAAGAACUCCGAUCGCGAAGGCAGCCUUCCGGCCCGUCAACGACGCUCAUGCUCGAAGGUGCGGGUAUCAAACAGGAUUAGAUACCCUGGUAGUCCGCACAGUAAACGAUGGACACCCGCGGUUUGGCCUGUAUGGCUGAGCCGCCAAGCGAAAGCGUUAAGUGUCCCACCUGGGGAGUACGCCGGCAACGGUGAAACUCAAAUGAAUUGGCGGGG
rnacentral:rRNA from 1 species